rnacentral:rRNA from 1 species
UACGUAGGGACCGAGCGUUGUCCGGAAUCAUUGGGCGUAAAGAGCGUGUAGGCGGCCAACUUAAGUCCUGCGUGAAAUCUUGCGGCUCAACCGCAAGCGGUCGUGGGAAAACUGGGUGGCUAGAGUGCGGGAGAGGAGAGUGGAAUUCCUGGUGUAGCGGUGGAAAUGCGGCAGAUAUCAGGAAGAACACCCGUGGCGAAGGCGGCUCUCUGGAACGCAACUGACGCUGAGACGCGAAAGCGUGGGGAGC